rnacentral:rRNA from 1 species
AGGACGAACGCUGGCGGCGUGCUUAACACAUGCAAGUCGAACGGAAAGGCCCGCUUGCGGGUACUCGAGUGGCGAACGGGUGAGUAACACGUGGGCAACCUGCCCUCAGCUUCGGGAUAACAUUUGGAAACAGGUGCUAAUACCGGAUAAUAACCUUUCAUCGCAUGGUGUGGGGUUCAAAGUUUUUCGGCUGGGGAUGGGCCCGCGGCCUAUCAGCUUGUUGGUGGGGUAAUGGCCUACCAAGGCGACGACUGGUAGCCGGCCUGAGAGGGCGACCGGCCACACUGGGACUGAGACACGGCCCAGACUCCUACGGGAGGCAGCAGUGGGGAAUAUUGCGCAAUGGGCGGAAGCCUGACGCAGCGACGCCGCGUGAGGGAUGACGGCCUUCGGGUUGUAAACCGUCUUUCAGCUCUGACGAAGCGCAAGUGACGGUAGGAGCAGAGAAGCACCGGCAACUACGUGCCAGCAGCCGCGGUAA